GAAUGUGAGGGCAAUCUGGCUGUGACAUCUGUCACCCCACUGAUUGCCAGGGUAGAUAUGGCUGAUGUGGCAGGCUAGUCGGGUGUCCCCUUCCUCCCUUACCACUCCAUGUGCAUCCCUCCCGAAGCUGUGCACUUGGUCAGAGAGAACAGCCAUCCCUGAUAGAGGAGGACCGUUCUUCGUACUGCCCACUGGAACCUCCAAGCAAGCUCUCAAGAAGAUGGCAGGAGAAAGGAAGUCUGGAUUUCCCAGUGGGCUGACUUCUCCAGGAGAUUCUGAGCUCAGCCCUUCAGAUCCAUCUCUAUGG
rnacentral:snRNA from 1 species